CGCUGCUCUGGGCUGCAAGCUUCCUCCACAGGAAGGACCUGGAGCAGCUGCUGAAGACGGAGCAGCCCUUCAGGUUCUGUGACUGCCUGAUGGAAAAGGACGUGAGCGGAAGGGGCGAGCACCUGCAGCAGGCCCUGCCCUACCUGCAGAGCCCACAGGAGCCCCUGCGAGAGGCGGCCGUCAGGUUCAUGGGGGUCGCCGGCUGGCACAUGAGGGAGGAGCAGCAAGACCUGUGGCCCAUCCUCAAGGGUGAGUGAGGGCAGUGGGGCCUCCCUGGGGGCUGCCGGGGACCAGCACAGACCCUGGGCAGGGAGCUGCAAUCCCUGCCCCGCCUGCACAGGGCUCUGCUCCCUGCACGCCGUGGCCAGAGCACACACACGUGGCAGGGGCAGGGUGCCCAUGGGUGCCCAGCACCUUCCCGCUCAUCCUCUUGGCCCCUGCUCCCUCCUGGCCGUGCCA